rnacentral:lncRNA from 1 species
GGUUCUCGGGUUUUUUCCUUCUCCUUUGCUCCUGUUGAGCGUGGAACUCAGACAUAAAGCUUCCUUCACAGCAGCAGUAAGGAAUUCUUUUCACUUCUGGAAUCUGAACUGGAGCCUUACAACUUCACUCUGUCAAGGAACAGGGGAAAAAGAUGGUUAGAGCUACAGAGCAGAUCACUGGCUGAGCUGAUGAUCACACAGAGGUAUCAUUCUGAUAAGUCUUUCACCACCUGCUGAUUGUCUUCCUUCUGCUGGGUGUUCACAGGUAAAGAAACUGGCCCUUCCUUAUAAGAUACUGUAGUAAUGGUGGACACUUAUUCCCUAAAGGAAUUUUUACUUUGCAUCCCCUAUUUGCCGUUGAUCUAGGAUCUUUAUCUCAUCUAUGUAACGAGCUAAUUCUUUUCUUUUGUGAAAUAUAUGUUUGUGUUUAAAGUACAUUUCUUCUUUUUCGCUUGUAAACUUAGGCCACCAUGGUGACAAUAAUUCUAAUACUCCAGAUCUGAAUUAAUCAUGCUGAAGAUACUUUUAACCUAUUGUC